AACUGGAAACUUGGGAAGAACACCCAUCUAUCACUCAAGGUAAAAAACAUUAAUUAGUAUAUGGAGGAAAUCAAAAACACAAUUGCAAAUGAGUCAUGGCCUAACACAACCUAAUACAAUUUUUUUCACUUUUUCUAAUUAGAGAACAAAUUCUCUGCCUUAAGACUCUCUCAAGACCAAAGACCAUCAACCACACAACAAGGAAGAAUGCAAACCGUUCCAGUGAGCUUGUCCAAUGAAAAUGAGCAAGAGGAUGCUUGGGGUGAACACCCAUCUAACUUUCAAGAGAACACAAUCUCUGAACAGAGAUCCUCAAGUACCCACCAGCCAAGAACAAAUAGUAAGUCAUUUGUAAUUUUUUUUUUU